UACGGAGGGUGCGAGCGUUGUCCGGAAUCAUUGGGCGUAAAGGGCGCGUAGGUGGCGGCUUAAGCGUGCGGUGAAAGCUCGGGGCUCAACCCCGAGUCGGCCGUGCGAACUGAGUCGCUUGAGCACUGUAGAGGCAGGCGGAAUUCCGGGUGUAGCGGUGGAAUGCGUAGAGAUCCGGAAGAACACCGGGUGGCGAAGGCGGCCUGCUGGGCAGUAGCUGACACUGAGGCGCGACACGUGGGGGAGCAAACAGG
rnacentral:rRNA from 1 species